UACGGAGGGUGCAAGCGUUGUCCGGAUUUAUUGGGUUUAAAGGGUGCGUAGGCGGCCCGUUAAGUCAGUGGUGAAAGCCUCCAGCUCAACUGGAGAACUGCCAUUGAUACUGGCGGGCUUGAGUACAGACGAGGUAGGCGGAAUUGAUUGUGUAGCGGUGAAAUGCAUAGAUACAAUCAAGAACACCGAUUGCGUAGGCAGCUACCUGGACAGAGUCUGACGCUGAGGCACGAAAGCUAGGGGAGCAAACAGG
rnacentral:rRNA from 1 species